rnacentral:lncRNA from 1 species
GGGGGGGAUUCGAAUUACUAUUAUCAAUUAGAAGAAUUUAUGGUUGGCUUAGUUGGACUGCUACAUUGAAGUAUCCAGACUCCGUUAAAAAAAACCAAGUGAUUCCAAUGGGAGAAAAUCCUAGAGCUUUCCGGAUCAAGUAAUAUAUCUAUUUUAUAUCAUAAAGGAUUCCUAUUUUUAAAGAAAUCUUUUUUUGUAAGUAGAAGUUUUUUCAAACUCUGAAGGGAUAACAAAAAGAAGUGGUAAUGGGAGCAUUUGUACUAUAUGUGCAAAUCAAAAUCGGGCGGAUCUUUACCCGGAGUAGAGCAUAAACCUAAAAAGAUUAAAGAUGCCCAUUUAAGAACAAGAAAAUGACAUCGUGAUUUGGAUUGGAUCUCGAUGAAACAAUCCAUCAAUGAGAAGUAAAUUGGAUAAGUUUAAUGAAUUCUUUUUUUUUAUUA